GCUCCCCCUGAACUCAGCGUGCUUGUAAACCAAAUUGGUUACAACAGGCGGUGACGUGGUUUUCUUGUUUGACUCCUGCCGUGUUUCUAAGUUUUCACGUGAUUUUGUUUGACUCUGCCAGACCAGGUUGGGAGCUCCAUCAUCAUCUUCUUCCUCGCCAACGUAUAUCAAAUGCAGUUCUUCGGCCCAGCAAAGCGCCUGAGGAGGAGGAGCCAGCGAGGAGCCAGGGGUGAGCAGCCCUUUGCUUUAUGAACCACAGUGUGGGACCUCUCUCCCAUGCCUCUCCCCUGGAUGGGGGCUCCAUCUCGAUUGCUCACAUCUCAGGAUGAGCCACGUUUCUCCUUGUGAGACGGUAAAUGACAUUCAAGAAAUAACCUUGAGUCUUAAAAGCCCUCCAGAAGAAACGCUGCUCGGGUUGGGUGGCGACUUCUGGCAAGCGUUCAGUAGUUGUCAUCAUCAUCAUCAUUACCACUGAAGAAUGGGCGGUGUGAGUCAUCAAGGCACAAGUCAGACAGACUUGUCUAGGAGCCCCCGUGACUGAAUCAAGCUGCUAUCCUCUCUAGGUCCAGUUCCUCACCUGUAACAUGCAUGAAUUAGUGUGUUCACGUCCUUGCUACUCAAAGUGUCGUCCACGCAGCAGCAGCAUCAUCAUACCCGAUGUUCUUUGAAAACGCAGAAUCUCAGGCUUCAUCCCAGACCAACCAAGUCCAGAUCUGCGUUUGAACAGGAUCGCAGGUGGUGUCAGUGCGCAUCACACCUGAAGAGAUACUGCCUCAUUCCUCACCGGCCCGCCCUUCCCAACCACAUAGGCCUUCUCUGUCCCAGACAGUUCCUCCAGCUCGCUCCCACCUCACUGUUCGCACUUCCUAAUCCAGGUCCCUUUUUACCUCCAUCCCAGCACACUCUCCA
rnacentral:lncRNA from 1 species